rnacentral:lncRNA from 1 species
AGUAGUCAAAAGGUCAUAUUUGAAAGGACUUUCUAAUUAUGCCAUCACAAUACUGGCUGCAAGACUGUGAGGUUUUAUUCCAUAGCUACAACUCUGGGUAUGUGCUUUUCCUUGCAUUAAAGGCCAGAGCAACAGGCAGCCCACAGGAACUACAGCAUGCUAUUGACACGUUUAUUUGUGGGUCUGUUCUGCUCUCAUUCACGAAGUUGAUCAGAGGAAUGAAGCACCUCCCCUAUGAAGACAGGCUGAGGGAGUUGUGCAUGGUCAGUGGGACCCCAUUACUUAAACGGGGCUUAUAAAAAAGAUAGAGAGCAACUUUUUGAUUGGGCAGAUAAUGAUAGGACAUGGGGGAAUGGUUUUAAACUAAAAGAGGGUAGGUUUAGAUUAGGUGUUAGGAGGACAUUCUUUACUCAGAGGGUGGUGAGGCCCUGGCACAGGCUGCCCAGAGAAGCUGUGGAUGCCCCAUCCCUUGAGGUGCUCAGGGCCAGGCUGGAUGGGGCUUUGAGCAAACUUGAUCUAGUGGGUGGCGUCCCUGCCCAUGGCAGGGGGGGUGGAACUAGAAGGGGGGUUGGAACUUCCAACCAAAGCCAUUCUACGAUUUUAUGAUUCUAGGAAAAUUGUCCACUGUGCAAUGUCUUCCUUCUGCAAGUUUCAUGAGCAUUCCUUCUCAAUCUCCUACCCAAAUAAUGAACCCAACCAUGGCUUUCUUGGAAAACCCAGCUCCACACCACUUGCCUGUGAGUGAUUACAAAGGUCCUCUGCUAUGCCUUUUCUUGCAGUAACCUCACCCACUUGUAGGCAAUAUGGCCUUUUCUCUGUCCUGAUAACUUUGUCUCUCCAGACUGCUUGUCUCCCACUACGUAAUCCCCUGGACCCCUCUAGCUCUGACAUUUCAGCCUGCUUAGCCUUCUGUUGUAAUCAGUGUGACCAGAACUUAAUUCGUGAACAUUUUUUUUGAAAUUUUCCUGCUCUACCACCCCCACUGGCAACACCGAGAGGUUCUUCGUGAUAUACCGCACACUUUUAGAGACACUGACUCUUCAGAAAUAGAUGAUAAACCUGUCUUUCACCUCUUUCAAAUAAACAUUGAGUUUCAUUUUAAAACUGACUUCUC